rnacentral:rRNA from 1 species
UACAGAGGGGGCAAGCGUUGUUCGGAAUUACUGGGCGUAAAGGGCGCGUAGGCGGCCUUCUAAGUCGAACGUGAAAUCCCCGGGCUCAACCCGGGAACUGCGUCCGAUACUGGAAGGCUUGAAUCCGGGAGAGGGAUGCGGAAUUCCAGGUGUAGCGGUGAAAUGCGUAGAUAUCGGGAGGAACACCAGUGGCGAAGGCGGCUUCCUGGCCUGUUCUUUACGCUGAGGCGCGAAAGCUAGGGGAGCAAACGGG